AUUGAACGCUGGCGGCAUGCUUUACACAUGCAAGUCGAACGGCAGCGCGGGCUUCGGCCUGGCGGCGAGUGGCGAACGGGUGAGUAAUACAUCGGAACGUGCCCAGUAGUGGGGGAUAGCUCGGCGAAAGCCGGAUUAAUACCGCAUACGACCUGAGGGUGAAAGCGGGGGAUCUUCGGACCUCGCGCUCUUUGAGCGGCCGAUGGCAGAUUAGCUAGUUGGUGGGGUAAAGGCCUACCAAGGCGACGAUCUGUAGCUGGUCUGAGAGGAGGACCAGCCACACUGGGACUGAGACACGGCCCAGACUCCUACGGGAGGCAGCAGUGGGGAAUUUUGGACAAUGGGCGAAAGCCUGAUCCAGCAAUGCCGCGUGUGUGAUGAAGGCCUUCGGGUUGUAAAGCACUUUUGGCGGGAACGAAAAGGACUGUGCCAAUACCACGGUUCGAUGACGGUACCCGCAGAAUAAGCACCGGCUAACUACGUG
rnacentral:rRNA from 1 species